rnacentral:miRNA from 1 species
UGUGGAUAUAGAAGGGUUAGU